ACGCUCGACACCUACGGGGGGGCAGCAGUAGGGAAUCUUCCACAAUGGGACGCAAGUCUGAUGGAGCAACGCCGCGUGAGUGAAGAAGGUCUUCGGAUCGUAAAACUCUGUUGUUAGAGAAGAACACGAGUGAGAGUAACUGUUCAUUCGAUGACGGUAUCUAACCAGCAAGUCACGGCUAACUACGUGUCAGCAGCCGCGGUAAUCUGAGCGGGCUGGCAAGGC
rnacentral:rRNA from 1 species